UACCAGCACCCCGAGUGGUCGGGACGUUUAUUGGGCCUAAAGCAUCCGUAGCCGGUUCUACAAGUCUUCCGUUAAAUCCAACUGCUUAACAGGUGGGCUGCGGAAGAUACUAUAGAGCUAGGAGGCGGGAGAGGCAAGCGGUACUCGAUGGGUAGGGGUAAAAUCCGUUGAUCCAUUGAAGACCACCAGUGGCGAAGGCGGCUUGCCAGAACGCGCUCGACGGUGAGGGACGAAAGCUGGGGGAGCAAACCGG
rnacentral:rRNA from 1 species